UACGUAGGGGGCAAGCGUUGUCCGGAAUUAUUGGGCGUAAAGGGCUCGUAGGCGGUUUGUCGCGUCGGGAGUGAAAACCUCGGGCUUAACUCGGGGCUUGCUUUCGAUACGGGCAGACUAGAGGUAUGCAGGGGAGAACGGAAUUCCUGGUGUAGCGGUGAAAUGCGCAGAUAUCAGGAGGAACACCGGUGGCGAAGGCGGUUCUCUGGGCAUGAUCUGACGCUGAGGAGCGAAAGCGUGGGGAGCGAACAGG
rnacentral:rRNA from 1 species